AUUGAACGCUGGCGGCAGGCCUAACACAUGCAAGUCGAGCGGAUGAAGGGAGCUUGCUCCUGGAUUCAGCGGCGGACGGGUGAGUAAUGCCUAGGAAUCUGCCUGGUAGUGGGGGAUAACGUCCGGAAACGGGCGCUAAUACCGCAUACGUCCUGAGGGAGAAAGUGGGGGAUCUUCGGACCUCACGCUAUCAGAUGAGCCUAGGUCGGAUUAGCUAGUUGGUGGGGUAAAGGCCUACCAAGGCGACGAUCCGUAACUGAUCUGAGAGGAUGAUCAGUCACCCUGGAACUGGGCCACGGUCCAGACUCCUACGGGAGGCAGCAGUGGGGAAUAUUGGACAAUGGGCGAAAGCAUGAUCCAGCCAUGCCGCGUGUGUGAAGAAGGUCUUCGGAUUGUAAAGCACUUUAAGUUGGGAGGAAGGGCAGUAAGUUAAUACCUUGCUGUUUUGACGUUACCAACAGAAUAAGCACCGGCUAACUUCGUG
rnacentral:rRNA from 1 species